rnacentral:snRNA from 1 species
AGCUUUGAGCAGUGGCAGUAUCGUAGCCAAUGAGGUUUAUCUGAGCCCGAUUAUUGCUAAUAGAAUUUAAGCAGGAAAAAAAAAAAAAAUCAGUGUGGCUUUCACUUAUAUUAUAUACAAUUUAUUGU